rnacentral:rRNA from 1 species
GAUGAACGCUGGCGGCGUGCUUAACACAUGCAAGUCGAACGAUGAAGCCCAGCUUGCUGGGUGGUUUAGUGGCGAACGGGUGAGUAACACGUGAGUAACCUGCCCUUGACUCUGGGAUAAGCGCUGGAAACGGCGUCUAAUACCGGAUACGAGCUUCCACCGCAUGGUGAGUUGCUGGAAAGAAUUUCGGUCAAGGAUGGACUCGCGGCCUAUCAGGUAGUUGGUGAGGUAACGGCUCACCAAGCCGACGACGGGUAGCCGGCCUGAGAGGGUGACCGGCCACACUGGGACUGAGAGACGGCGCAGACUCCUACGGGAGGCAGAAGUGGGGAAUAUUGCACAAUGGGCGCAAGCCUGAUGCAGCAACGCCGCGUGAGGGACGAAGGCCUUCGGGUCGUAAACCUCUUUUAGCAGGGAAGAAGCGAAAGUGACGGUACCUGAAGAAAAAGCACCGGCUAACUACGUG